CAGCUUGCUGGUAGGCGUCGAGCGGCGGACGGGUGAGUAACACUUAGGAAUCUACCUAGUAGUGGGGGAUAGCUCGGGGAAACUCGAAUUAAUACCGCAUACGACCUACGGGAGAAAGGGGGCAGUUUACUGCUCUCGCUAUUAGAUGAGCCUAAGUCGGAUUAGCUAGAUGGUGGGGUAAAGGCCUACCAUGGCGACGAUCUGUAGCUGGUCUGAGAGGAUGAUCAGCCACACCGGGACUGAGACACGGCCCGGACUCCUACGGGAGGCAGCAGUGGGGAAUAUUGGACAAUGGGGGCAACCCUGAUCCAGCCAUGCCGCGUGUGUGAAGAAGGCCUUUUGGUUGUAAAGCACUUUAAGCAGUGAAGAAGACCAUAUGGUUAAUACCCAUAUGCGAUGACAUUAGCUGCAGAAUAAGCACCGGCUAACUCUGUGCCAGCAGCCGCGGUAAUACAGAGGGUGCAAGCGUUAAUCGGAAUUACUGGGCGUAAAGCGAGCGUAGGUGGCUUGAUAAGUCAGAUGUGAAAUCCCCGGGCUUAACCUGGGAACUGCAUCUGAUACUGUUAAGCUAGAGUAGGUGAGAGGGAAGUAGAAUUCCAGGUGUAGCGGUGAAAUGCGUAGAGAUCUGGAGGAAUACCGAUGGCGAAGGCAGCUUCCUGGCAUCAUACUGACACUGAGGCUCGAAAGCGUGGGUAGCAAACAGGAUUAGAUACCCUGGUAGUCCACGCCGUAAACGAUGUCUACUAGUCGUUGGGUCCCUUGAGGACUUAGUGACGCAGCUAACGCAAUAAGUAGACCGCCUGGGGAGUACGGCCGCA
rnacentral:rRNA from 1 species